GGUGUUAGUAAAUAACAUUACACAAUCUUGUCAAGAUUGCAUAACGGGUGAAAACCCCGUACACCUCUA
rnacentral:tRNA from 1 species